AGUGAGGAAUUUUCCGCAAUGGGCGAAAGCCUGACGGAGCGACGUCGCGUGUGGGAAGAAGGCCUUCGGGUCGUAAACCACUGUCGAAGGGGACGAUAUUGACGGUACCCUUGGAGGAAGCCCCGGCUAACUACGUGCCAGCAGCCGCGGUAAGACGUAGGGGGCAAGCGUUGUCCGGAAUUAUUGGGCGUAAAGCGCUCGUAGGUGGAUUUGCAAGUCUGCAAGGAAAGACCCGGGCUCAACUCGGGAACCCGUGUGGAAACUGCAAACCUUGAGGUAGUCAGAGGAUGAUGGAAUUCCCGGU
rnacentral:rRNA from 1 species